CAAUUUACAAAUUAAACUUGGAAAAAUGGUUUACAAAAUUUCCCUAUCUUUUCUUUUAUUUGUCAUCUCUUUGUUUGUUGCCACAAAUCUUGCACAUGGCCAAAUAUUGAGCCAAGUGAUCAACAUAACGGGGCAGCUUUGUUGCACGGCCAAUGGGACAUGUCCGGGGCCUCCUAUCGCUAAUCAAACUGUUCGUUUAGUUUGUCCUAAUUUAUUUGGCGGUAAUACGACAACUGGCCAAGGUUAUUGUUCGACUCCCAUUGUCAAAUGAAGUUUGUCCCGCCCUUUCCACCACGACUGGCCUACUUAAAUCGACCCUUACAAUUGUCAAAAUUAUUCGCAAUUUUCUUUCUACCAUUGUAAGCGCUGUAGCUCAAGGAUUUACAGUGUCGCCGGGUGCCUAGAUCUCCAUAUUAUGUGAUGGAUGAUUCUCUUCUUCACUUUUUCAUAAUUGGAAUAGUAUUGUUGCAGUAAAUUAUGAUUGUGUAUGAAAAUGACGAGUAUAUGAUAAAGAUGUUAUAAACAUGUGUGUUCCAAAUUCGUAAGAAGAAUUUGUUAUCUUGUGAUAA